rnacentral:lncRNA from 10 species
GAAGGAGCCAUAGCCUAAUUGGAGACCGUGAACAUCAGCCUACGCUGAGUCACCAGGCAGCGCCGCACAAAUGGGCUAGGGCUUCCCCUUUCCGCGAUUCCUGUCCCUACUCUUUCCCACUCUCUUUCUUCUCUUUGCACAUACUUUUCUUCUCGCCUCUCCUUCGGAUCUGCGUUAAUGAAAAUAUUUUAUCUUGUACAAGUUUAUAAAGCCUACGGUAGUAAAUUCAGGCGUCCCAGGGCUCAAGGACUGCACUCUUGCGGAUUUCUCUGCCGGGUCUGGUGCUGCAGAUGCAAACCCAGGCCCCGUGAACAAAGCGAUCCGGAGCUGCAAUUCCUCCCUGCUCACUCCUGUGGCUGACUUGCACGCACAGACAUCGCCUCCCCACUUGUUGGCGACUGUUUUCCAUUCUUCCCCCAACAAUUCGUCCUUCUCAAUUCCGAUUAGCUGAGACUGAAGCCCUCUACAAAGGACCUGUGCAGCCCACGGAACAACUCCGCAGUUCUCAGGUAGAAGAAUCAGAAUCAGGUCUGAGCCCGCGGAGUAUCUCUUUAAGCGCUGAUUUUUUAAAAUCAAUGAUCGUUUCUCAUUGGGGCUCCAGGGAGGUGCUCGGUUUCUGGAGUGUCAAAUGAGAGUAUACUCCCAGGCUUGUUAUACUGAAAAGGACAUCAGGCCAUCUAUUGGCAAAUAAUUACUCACAACACGGGAGGUACCUGUCAGCAGGGCGUGCUGUAUAUUGAAUUCCCUAUACGAAGAAGCAGAGAUAUCAAUUGAGGAAAGCCAGCUUGGGGAUGAUAUAAAAACCAUCAGAUUAAGAUCUGGACCAUGCAAAUGUCAAAAACACACCAAUUAAACUUGCUUUUGAGAAAAAAUUCCAAGUGCUUGCUGAUUUAUUUUCCAUCAAAAUAUUCAAUUUAUUUCAUUUAACACGUUUGAAACCACAUUUUGAUUGCAAUAAUAAUGUAAUACUACAUACUCAGUAUUAUCAAUGGAUAUCAAGUACUAUCAACUACCAAAACAUCUUCCCUUCACCUUCAAAGUGAUUAAAAAAAAAUCACUCUAAUUUUCUACCUGUAGCACCCUGUUAUCUUUAAAUUUACAUUUAAUUUUGUAGAUUUUAAGAGUCAGAGCUCUCUUGUUUCAGUUUAUUUGGAGAAAUUUGUGAAGCAAGUUAUCUAAAUGGUCUUGGUCAAAAAUGGGUUCAAACAAAUAAAUACCCUGAAAGUAGGCAGGUGCCUACAGGUAAGUUCGCUGUGAGUUCGCUUCAAGAAAACCAUCUUUAGAUUUCCAUCGUGGAGGCAUAGGGAAACACUCAAGAUUGGUCUCCACUUUGUUGUAGAAGAAUGAAACGGAUUUGAGGGGAGAAUAAUGUAAAAUUACAGCAAAUGUUCCCUACCCAGGCAGAAGUUUUAUUUGGUUGUGUUUUGAAUUUCCCCUUUGCGAUCAAUCGAGUGGUCGCCAGUAUUGGUUUUCUCUUCUUUCCCAGUUCCUGCUUUGCCCAGGGCUCCCCCUGGCCAGGCUUUGGAUCACUUGGUCUCUGUGAGACAGUGAGGAAUCGAGCGUUUCAUAUUAUGGGUUUCCAGAAAGACGUGGGAGACGAAUGAGGCGCAGAAAAACUUAUCAGCUUCUUUUCCAUCUGCCUCGGAAAGGUGGAAACAAGGAGAGCGCUGCAGAAAUUUCUAAUUUUUUUAUUUUCCAAGUUUUUGUUGCUUCUUGAGCUCCUGUCCUGCCCUGUCCAGGCCAUUCCACGUCCCCGUCCCCUUGUUUCCACUUAUAAUUAGAACUUUGUAAGGGGGCCCCAACCUGACUCCAUCCGAGAGUAAGCUUAGUUCGGGAUUAUUAAUUUUUUAUGUAGCAUUUAUUACUUGAUAUUAUUUAAUAACAAAACUCUCAAUAAAGUAAAAAGAAAGAAGUCAGUCCAGUUUCCGGGGACACCCUAAAAUCCCUGGGGGCGGUUCCCACUGGUAAAAUACUAAGGAAUUCGUAUUUCCGAUGAAGUUCCAAAGCUGAAAUUAAAAUCCAGUCUGGGUUUCUGAAGCUCAUAUUGUUUUGGACAAUAUCUGCGUUUUCUUUCAUUUAGUUUUCGUUCUUUCUGGUUUUGGUGCUUUUUCUUUUCUUUUCUUCUUUUUUUUUUUUUUUUACAUUGCCGAAGACAAUCUGAUUUACAGUUUGACUGAGAGUUGCAUUUCUGUUUAGAAGGUGAAACGUCUAAAUCGCUUAGCCAAAUUAUUCCCCGACGGCUCCAAUAUUGUGCCAGAGUCCCAGAGUCAGUUAUUUUUAUGUCUGACUGUAUUUCACAUGUGCAGGGUGAUAAAUAAAAUCCGUCUCAAGCUACAAACUAUCUGAGUGUGAUGAGGAACAAUCGACAAAAAUUAACCCAGCCAAAGCGUUGGGGUUCAAGCGAGCGACUGGACCAUAAAUCAGCGUCGCGGUGGCGUCGGGAAGCUGAGCGCUCGGAGGUGCACUCAGCUGCCUCUGGGUUCGCCCAGUCCGAGAGCGGGGCUCCGCCGCGGGAGCCCGGGCAGGAAUCGGACUCCGCCAGGGGUUCGGAGUCUUCUGGGGAAAGGGCGUGUUGGGAGAGAAAGGCAAGCCCACGCAGGAGCGACCUCCUAAUUAAUUCAUCAUCGAGAAUUCUCCAGUGGGGUGUGUGUGUGUGUGUGUGUGUGUGUGUGUGUGUGUAAAAUCAAAAAAGACUUGGGAGGCAAACUUGGGUGGGAAGCACUGAGGAAGGCGAAACAAUUCCCAACUUAUCUGGAUCCCAGACGAGUCCCUCUGAUUGCUUAAGUCACUAGAAAAGGAGAUUCGUCUCAGCGAUUAACAAUGAUACCCUUUUUAAGAGAGAUCAAAGAAGGCGCCUAGGGAAGCUCUACAACGCGGCUUCUUGGAGUUCUGAGGCCGCCUGCGCAUUCACUUUCCAGUGUAAGCCCCCGCUCCGGAAUCCCGGCUCCAGCCCAGCCCGCGCCCCCUUCCCUGGAAAGACCUGGCCGGCCGCGCCCCCGAACCCCCGAGGCGUGGGUGUCAGGCUAAGCGGGGCUGGUCCGACCGGUCGCUUCCAGCUCUCUCCACCUGUUGGAAAGCCCAGGCCCAAGAACCGCGCCAGCGGCGGCAGCACGUCACUCGGCGGCCACGGGGAGUCAGGGAGCGCGGAACGCGGGUUUCUGUUGAUAAGUGCAAAGUACGGCCCUCUCGGUGCUAAGUGCACAGUAAGUGCGAAGAAUAAAUACAUCAUCUCCCGGGGCGGCUGUCUCGAAAACGCCUCUCAGCUGCCUGCGUUUCAGAGCCCGUCAAGGGUUAUAGCUUAGUGUGGGCGUCCGCGCCGCGCCUGCGCCUCCGAGCGCCGGCCGAGAAGGGCGCGCAGCCACAGCCACCACAUGCCACUAGCCCCGCAAGGCGCCUGACUCCUCUAAGGGGAACUCGUAAUGCUCACCAAAAGCCUCAGAAACCCUGGAACCUAUAAGACCGCACCACCGCGCAAACGGUGUCCCGGGCUGCGCUCCCGCACUGCACCGGCAGCCUAUGAGGCGAGGCCAACCCGGAGACUGCGCGCGACGGGCGUGCGUGCGUGCGCCCGCAGAUUCGCUUCAGGCGAACCAUAUAUUCAAGACCAAAGAUCAUAUCUCAUAAUGAGGAGCAGCAUAAGAUGGAAGCAGCUGAAUGAAUAAAACUGAGAUGAAAUAAUUUGUCCAAAGUUGUAUAUUUGGCUCAGAACAAAACCUGGAGAACCAAUUACAGAGACUCUGUGUAGAGAAAAUCAUGUUUCAGAUCAGGAAGAAUUCUACUUGACUGCAGUGAAUACAAUAUCAAAAUGUUCAGUUGGCUGAAUUCCCUGGAUGCGGCUUAACAGAAUGUAAGUAAAGAAAUGGACACAUUAGACUCAUUAAAACCUUGUGAUAUGAUGGUGUAAAUGAGCCAGAGCUAGAACCAUUUGAAUUCCAUUCACAUCAGUCAGUUACUCUGAAUAUACAAGUGAUGGACCAUUUCACAGUUGUCCAAUAUUGACUUCUACCAAGGUUUCUCAAUUUGGCACUAUUGAGUCUCAGAGUUGUAUAAUUAUUUCUGGGGGAAGGGAGGCUGUCCUGUGCAUUGUAGGUUGUUUAGUGGCAUCACUGGCUUCUACUCCUCAGAUGACAGUAGUGCCAUCACCCAAGUUGUGCCAACCAAAAAUAUCUCCAGACAUUGUCAUAUGUCUCUGGGAGAUAGGGAGCAAAAUUGGCCCUGGUUGAGAACAACUAAGUUAGAUAAAUCUGUGUCUGGAGUUUCUGAGAUCCGGGUGGCCAGGCACUGGCAUCUCACUUUAUUGAUGGUGACCUAAACUGCAGGAUUGGUGGUCAGAAUGCUUGACUAUUGGGAAUGGAGAGAAGGGCUUCAAGCUACGUUGAAUGGGGCCACUCACAAAACAAUGAAGCAAAUAAAUAAUCCACAAAUAAUUUUACUACAUCUUUGUGACCCUCACGAAAAGAAAUAGUUUGCCCCAAAAUAGAAAUAUUAUGGUGAUAAUCUGAGCCCAUCAAUCUAACUAUUACACACUGCAUUUUGAUAGAGCUAUAGGUAUAUAAGUACAGGUAUAGGUAGACAGAUAUAAAUAGCUCUCAAAACACCUUUCCAGACAUAACCUUAAGCAAUUCUCUCAAUUACCCUGUAAAGUCCAGUGGACAGGUGUUCCAGUUACUCUUAUUUUAUGGGCUACGAAACUACAUUUCAGAGAGGUUAGGUGAUUUCUUCCAGAUUAUACAAGAACAGUUUGGAUCAAAUACAGGGCCUUUUCUAUAGUUCUGUCUUCUUUAAAAAUGAAGAUUAAGUAGUGAGAGGUGGUAUAUGCUUAGACCAUAAAAAUAUUUAGUUAUGUAUCACAUAAGCAGAGGAAGAUAAG